rnacentral:rRNA from 1 species
UACGAAGGGGGCUAGCGUUGCUCGGAAUUACUGGGCGUAAAGGGCGCGUAGGCGGAUAUCUAAGUCGGGGGUGAAAGCCCGGGGCUCAACCUCGGAAUUGCCUUCGAUACUGGGUAUCUUGAGUUCGGGAGAGGUGAGUGGAAUGCCGGGUGUAGAGGUGAAAUUCGUAGAUAUUCGGAGGAACACCAGUGGCGAAGGCGACUCACUGGCCCGAUACUGACGCUGAGGCGCGAAAGCGUGGGGAG